GAUGAGCGCUGGCGGCGUGCCUAAUACAUGCAAGUCGAGCGAACGGACGAGAAGCUUGCUUCUCUGAUGUUAGCGGCGGACGGGUGAGUAACACGUGGAUAACCUACCUAUAAGACUGGGAUAACUUCGGGAAACCGGAGCUAAUACCGGAUGAUAUUUUGAACCGCAUGGUUCAAAAGUGAAAGACGGUCUUGCUGUCACUUAUAGAUGGAUCCGCGCUGCAUUAGCUAGUUGGUAAGGUAACGGCUUACCAAGGCAACGAUGCAUAGCCGACCUGAGAGGGUGAUCGGCCACACUGGAACUGAGCCACGGUCCAGACUCCUACGGGAGGCAGCAGUAGGGAAUCUUCCGCAAUGGGCGAAAGCCUGACGGAGCAACGCCGCGUGAGUGAUGAAGGUCUUCGGAUCGUAAAACUCUGUUAUUAGGGAAGAACAUAUGUGUAAGUAACUGUGCACAUCUUGACGGUACCUAAUCAGAAAGCCACGGCUAACUACGUG
rnacentral:rRNA from 1 species